CAGUCGCCGCGGUAAUACGUAGGGUGCGAGCGUUAAUCGGAAUUACUGGGCGUAAAGCGUGCGCAGGCGGUUAUAUAAGACAGAUGUGAAAUCCCCGGGCUCAACCUGGGACCUGCAUUUGUGACUGUAUAGCUAGAGUACGGUAGAGGGGGAUGGAAUUCCGCGUGUAGCGGUGAAAUGCGUAGAUAUGCGGAGGAACACCGAUGGCGGAGGCAAUCCCCUGGACCUGUACUGACGCUCAUGCACGAAAGCGUGGGGAGCAAACAGGAUUAGAUACCCCUGUAGUCCCUGUCUCUUAUAC
rnacentral:rRNA from 1 species